CAGAACUGUUCCUCAUAAAAACCUGAGCAUAUGGUUCUGGUUACACUCAGAACAAACUAAUAAACAAUCAACUCUCACAGGAAACACAGACUUCCCCCUCCUCUCCUCUCUUCUCCAAAUUCCCUCCCCUCCUCCUCUGCCCUCCUCUCCUCUCCUCUCUUCUCCUCUCUCCCUCCCCUCCUUUUCUCUCCUUUACUUUCCUCUGCUCUCCUCCUCUCCUCUCCUCUUCCCUCCUUUCAUCUGCUCUCUUCUCCCCCUCCUCUUCUCUCCCCUCCUCUCCCCCUCCUCUUCUCUCCUUUACUCUCCUCUCCUCCCCUCCCCUCCACUCCUCUCAUCCUCUCCUCUCAUCCUCUCCUCCCCUCCCCUCCUCUCAUCCUCUCCUCUCAUCUCAUCCUCUACUCUUCUCUCCGCUUCUCCUCUUCCCUCCUAUUCUCUCCUCUCAUCCUCUCCUCUUUUCUCCCCUUCUCCUCUCCCCUCCUCUUCUCUCCUUCACUCUCCUCUCCUCUGCUCUCAUCUUCCCUCCUCUCCUCCCCUCCCCUCGUCUCCUCUCCUCCCCACCUCUUAUCUCCUCCCCACCUCUCCUCUCCUCUCCUCCCCUCCUGUCCUCUCCUCUCCUCUCUCCUCUCCUCCUUCUCUCUCCUUCCUUUCCUCCUUCCAGCCCUCCUCUCCUCUCUUCUCUCCUCAGCCCUCUCUUCUCAUUCCUCUCAUCCUCUAAACUCAGCUCCAUUCUUUUCUCUUCUCUUUCUUCUCCUCCUCUUCUCUCCUCCCCUUGUUAUCUCCUCUCUCCUCCCCUUCUCUCCUCUCCUCCUCCCCUUUCCUCCUCUCUUCUCCUCUGCCUACUCAACACUGGUUCAGAGUCUUGGAUGUAAACGAUGCUGAUAGGAUCAAAACCCCCACAACUUAAAUUCCAGUCUGGUAUGCAUGUGGACAUGCUGACACACACACACACACACACACACACACACACACACACACACACACACACACACACACACACACACGACAGCUGAGUGAAAAGCACAUGUGUGAAGUAC
rnacentral:lncRNA from 1 species